rfam:Triticum aestivum genome assembly, contig: Triticum_aestivum_CS42_TGACv1_scaffold_001810_1AL
CUAGUACUCCCUUCGUUCCAAAUUACUCGUCACAGAAAUGGAUGUAUUUAGAACUAAAAUACAUCUAGAUACAUUUAUUUUUGCAACGAGUAAUUCGGAACGGAGGGAGUACUUG